CGCUGAAAGCAUCUAAGCGGGAAGCCCCCCCCAAGAUUAGUUCUCCCUAGACCUUUAAGGUCUCUAAAGGGCCGUCGAAGACUACGACGUUGAUAGGCUGGGUGUGUACACGCAGUAAUGCGUUUAGCUAACCAGUACUAAUUGCCCGUGAGGCUUGACCAU
rnacentral:rRNA from 1 species